AAAAGAUUUCUUUACCAUCUGAGCCACCAGAGAAGCCCUUCCUUCCUUUGGAGGUUCUUUGUUGUCCUCUCAGCAUGCUUGUUUAUGUCAUUAUAUCCAUCAUCAUCAUCAUAUCAGCUUUUCCCUCCUGCAAAAGUGCAUUGUUGCUGAGAGGAACUUGACUGUCAGCCAGAGACAGUGAAAGCCCUUUGUCUGUCUCCAAUCCUCAACAACCUUUGCAGGCAAAUGCAAGCUUCUUGCUGAGUCAUGGAUGUGAUUCAACUUUCACCUGGAACAAACAACUCAGGAGGUGAAGUAGUCAGCACGCCUGCUCGUUCUCAGUCUGUAGCACCAACAACAAGGACUGCUGGUGCUGAAGGCUUUGCGAAUUAAAUGGACAUCAGUCUAUGGCAGGAAAAUCCUUCUCAAAUUCUGACUCCCAAGUAGGGCUUUUUUCCCUUCUCUCUUGAAGGUUCUGCUUUGUCUCUAAACUAUCAACUCAGAAUGGAGAGAAACAGCUUUUCCGGCUUGGAUGGUUUGACUGUAUAAUAUAAUCAAUAAAUGUCUUAAAACUGAUCU